rnacentral:ribozyme from 1 species
GGUGUGCGAUAGACUCAUCUCCACGUGGCGCACACUGGGCAACGUAUGCUCAUACGGCAAAAAAGUCUAU